rnacentral:lncRNA from 1 species
UGAUCUGAUUUUGGAUCUCUAAGUUGAAGUUUAUGCUUCAUACCUGAGAGUAAAUCGGAUCAUAGCUUGCGGGGACCUUUUGUAAGUAUUCUUUCGUUCUUUUCAUUCGUUUUUAUCGCUAAAGUCAAACUGCGUUUGACUUUCUGCUUUGACCAGUUUAUGGUCAACGCGAAGUUCAUUUGAACUUCAUAACGUGAGCAUAAUCACGAUGGUUAUGGUCCCUAGUGACUAUACCUACUGAUUACCACGUUAUCUAGGCCCAGUGACGAGUCGUAGUUUUGGCUAAAAUGCGUUUUCUCGCGUAUUUUGUAACCAAGCUACUUAUAGGUAUCAAAACCGUUUGUUUUGAUACCAAACCUGUUUUGCAACUUAACUAAACAUGUUUUAGCAUGUUUAGCUCGUCACUUUUUAGUUUAGUGCUUGUGUAGAGUCGUAAGUCAAGCGGACUAAACACCCGCUUAGACUUUCGAACACGACCCGUUUGGUCGAUUAUUAGGAUCCGACCAAACAUGUUUAGUGACCAUAGUAGCAUAGGGAAUAACCUUCCGAGGUUAUACUUUAUGGUCACCUAGGUUUAAUUAAUCAUAUGAUAGGUAAUUUAUAUGCCUUAGGAAAAUUACCAAAAUACCCUUUUUACGCAUAAAUUCAUUUUAAGCAUAUGUAACCUAAAUUUUGACAUCUAAGCUGAUUAGACAAUAAUAUUAGACAUGUUAAGGCAUAUAUUACUUGUCAUAGGACUAGUUAGGCGUUCCGAACGCGUUUUACGCGAACGACGCGUUAAAGUAGCGUAAGCUACCUAAACGGGUCAUAUCGGGUCGUAAGCACUUAGGUUAGGUUCCAUUUUUGUAUGUAGGCUUUGUUAGACCAUAUCAUAUGAGUUCCAAUACUCAUUUGGUUUACGAAACCUCAUACUAUCCGAUCUUCCGAGUUGGGUCCGGUUAUUAAUGUAGUUACCUAUAUUAGGUGCCGUUUGAUUUCCGUGAUCCCUCUAGCUUUGCUUGGUUGUUGUUCAAGACUUAUAAGCACCCUCAACAUAUGGACACAUUGAAUUACAUUUUGAACCGUUGUACAAUAGUUGAUGAUAUUUAAUGAUGAUAUUGGUGUAUGCUCACAUAGGAAUGGACUAGGCCUUAGUGACUUAAUAACAACGAAAGACUAUUUGUUUAUGUUUUGUUUCAAUUUCUAAUGUAAUGUAAUACAUUUGAUUUGAUAAAACGAAACUAUU